GACGAACGCUGGCGGCGUGCUUAACACAUGCAAGUCGAACGGGUCUGCCCUGUUUUUUGCGGGGUGGGUCAGUGGCGAACGGGUGAGUAACACGUGAGUAACCUGCCCCUCACUUCUGGAUAACCGCUUGAAAGGGUGGCUAAUACGGGGUGUUCUGGCUGUGCCGCAUGGUGUGGCUGGGAAAGAUUCACUUUUGUGGUGUUUUGGUGGGGGAUGGGCUCGCGGCCUAUCAGCUUGUUGGUGGGGUGGUGGCCUGCCAAGGCUUGGACGGGUAGCCGGCGUGAGAGGGUGGGCGGUCACAAUGGGACUGAGGUACGGCCCAGACUCCUGCGGGAGGCAGCAGUGGGGGGUAUUGCACAAUGGGCGGAAGCCUGAUGCAGCGACGUCGCGGGAGGGAUGGAGGCCUUCGGGUUGUGAACCUCUUUCGCCGGUGAAGAAGGUCCUGCUCUUUGUGGUGGGGUUGACGGUAGCCGGGUUAUGAAGCGCCGGCUAACUACGUG
rnacentral:rRNA from 1 species